GAUGAACGCUGGCGGCGUGCCUAAUACAUGCCAGUCGAGCGAACAGAUGAGGAGCUUGCUCCUCUGACGUUAGCGGCGGACGGGUGAGUAACACGUGGAUAACCUACCUAUAAGACUGGGAGAACUACGGGAAACCGGAGCUAAUACCGGAUAAUAUAUUGAACCGCAUGGUUCAAUAGUGAAAGACGGUUUUGCUGUCACUUAUAGAUGGAUCCGCGUCGCAUUAGCUAGUUGGUAAGGUAACGGCUUACCAAGGCAACGAUGCGUAGCCGACCUGAGAGGGUGAUCGGCCACACUGGAACUGAGACACGGUCCAGACUCCUACGGGAGGCAGCAGUAGGGAAUCUUCCGCAAUGGGCGAAAGCCUGACGGAGCAACGCCGCGUGAGUGAUGAAGGUCUUCGGAUCGUAAAACUCUGUUAUUAGGGAAGAAAAAAUGUGUAAGUAACUAUGCACGCCUUGACGGUACCUAAUCAGAAAGCCACGGCUAACUACGUG
rnacentral:rRNA from 1 species